ensembl:lncRNA
CAGUCCCUGGUCCUCGUCAGGGAACCCCCUGCUACCCCCUGCAGGACCUCCGCCCACCCAGGAGGAGGAGGAGGAGGAGGAGGUUCUCGCCCCUCUGUGUGCCAGCCCCUCCCUCUCAAUCACUGAGGAAAUCCUGCAGUUGAUGAACAAGAGCCUCCUGGCUUCAUCUCUACCCACGGAGUCCACCAGAUCUGACCACAGCUUUACCAGCCCUCUGGCCCCUGAAGUACCCCCCUCCAGCCCUCUGGCCCCUACAAUAACCCCCACCAGCCCUCCGGCCCCUACAAUACCCCCCUCCAGCCCUCUGGCCCCUGAAGUACCCCCCUCCAGCCCUCUGGCCCCUGAAGUACCCCCUCCAGCCCUCUGGCCCCUACAGUACCCCCUCCAGCCCUCUGGCCCCUACAGUACCCCCCCCUUCAGCCCUCUGGCCCCUACAGUACCC